rnacentral:rRNA from 1 species
CACACAGUAAACGAUGAAUACUCGCUGUUUGCGAUAUACAGUAAGCGGCCAAGCGAAAGCAUUAAGUAUUCCACCUGGGGAGUACGCCGGCAACGGUGAAACUCAAAGGAAUUGACGGGG